AUGGAGGAGGACGCCCCGCCUAAGAAGUCAGUGGCGGAGCUGGCUGGAAAGUUCAAAGCUCAUGCCCCUCCCUUCCCCACGGGAACUGACGGGGGAAGAGCCCGCCUCUCCAUCCGGCGACGCCCACCUUCGAGACGCCACAGGAAGUCCAGCGGAGAGGAAGGAGACGGGGUGACGGGUGAAGAGAUGCCCCUAACUACACCCGACGACCCUGAGGCCAAAGUUGGGGAGGAAGAGAAAGGAGAGGGGGAGGAGGUGUUUGAGAAGGAAGUGGAAGAGAAGGAUGGUGAAAGAGCAGACACCACUAUGUAUACCAAAGAAAAGAUAGAGACAGGCUCCUCUACCCCUGCUAACUCACAGCAACAGAUUGCCACAACAGACAGAUCAACUACAGACCCUGACCCACUGGAAAAGACAAAGUCAGAAAAAACGCUGGAGAGACAGACAGGAGAGGAGAGACAGGAGGACAGGCAGACAGCAGAGGAGAGACCGACAGGAGAGGAGGCAACAGGGUCUAGAGGAGAAGAGGUGAAAGAUUGUGGUCAGGGGUGUGGAGGAGAAGAAAAGGAGAAGGGGAGGGAGACUUGUUCAGUGGAGGAGUCAUCUACAGAGAGAGAGAAAGAAGAGGGGGAAGAGCUGGCCUGCAAAGAAAAGGAGGGAGAGAGAGAUACAGACUGCAACGAAGAGAAGUUGAGUUCGCACCUGUUUGUGGCGAUUGACACUUCUCCUGUACUUCUGGUGUGCUCUGAGGAUGGAACUCAUGUGCUGUGUGGUUCAGUGUGGGUGGACAUGGUGGCUCGGUGGGUGACCGACCAGGUAAGUUGUCCUGUCUGGAACUCAUCAGAAUGUUCCUCGCUGUCUGUGUGUUGAUGGUUCUGUGUCAUAUGGGGUCUAAGUUUUGUUCCGUUACUCGAUCUUCUUUUUACUCUGUCGUUGCUCUGAGGUUGUUCUGGAGUUUCAGCUACAGGGAGAAAGUCACAUGGCAACAACAGGUUUCUAUGGAGCACUCUUAUCUCACCUCUCCCACUCUCGAAAACUGGACUAUCUUUACCUUUGCGGGCCUGGAUGACAUAGACUUAAUCUCCCCAGUAGGAGUGGAUUUUGCCUGGCCCUCCCCUUUCUCUCAUGUUCCUUACAAGGACCCUGCAGCCUUCUUGAAGCUCUGACCCAUAGGUUAUCUUGUCGUACUGCUUCUUUCUACUGUCAGCUGACUUGACUUCAUUUUUGGAUGCUAUCUCUAUAGGCCUCAGUCAUUCUCUUUUUCUCCUGGUAGGAGCCUGGAUUGUCCUCUCUUUUUAUCCCGAACAGGAGAUUGAUGGGGAGACGUGGAGGCUAGCAUGGAGAGAAGGGUACGAUUAAAUCUCUCUGUUUGACCGCUCCCCUGUGGGUGAAAUGGAGUGGUGUGCGACCAUCAUAUUCCACAGAGCUCUGAUCAGUCAAUGUAACAUUUUUUUUCCUGGUCGUGGUGUAUUUUCCCAAGAAAUCAUAAUUUCAUUGAACAGUUUGUCUGCACCUGUCUUGGCUGACUUGUUUGUGGUUACAUAGGCUUGGGCAAAGCAUGUGUAGUGUUCCAUGACAACAGGUACAGUUGAAGUCGGGAAGAUUACAUACACCUUAGCCAAAUACAUUUAAACUCAGUUUUUCACAAUUUCUGUUUUAGGUCAGUUAGGAUCACCACUUUAUUUAGAGAAUGUGAAAUGUCAGAAUCAUAGUAGAGAGAAUGAUUUAUUUCAGCUUUUAUUUAUUUCAUCCCAUUCCCAGUGGGUCAGAAGUUUACAUACACUCAGUUAGUAUUUGGUAGCAUUGCCUUUAAAUUGUUUAACUUGGGUCAAACGUUUCGGGUAGCCUUCCACAAGCUUCCCACAAUAAGUUGAGUGAAUUUUUGCCCAUUCCUCCUGACAGAGCUGGUGUAACUGAGUCAGGUUUGUAGGCCUCCUUGCUCGCACACACCUUUUCAGUCCUGCCCACAAAUCUUCUAUAGGAUUGAGGUCAGUGCUUUGUGAUGUCCACUCCAAUACCUUGACUUUGUUGUCCUUUAGCCAUUUUGCCACAACUUUGGAAGUAUGUUUGGGGUCAUACUUAAUCAAGACCCUUUUGCGACCAAGCUUUAACUUCCUGACUGUCCAUCUUCAUGAUGCCAUCUAUUUUGUGAGGUGCACCAGCCCCUCCUGCAGCAAAGCACAACCACAACAUGAUUCUGCCACCCCGUGCUUCACGGUUGGGAUUGUGUUCUUCAGCUUGCAAGACUCCCACUUUUUCCUCCAAACAUAACGAUGGUCACCAUGGCCAAGCAGUUCUAUUUUUGUUUCAUCAGACAAGAGGACAUUUCUCCAAAAAUAACGAUCAUUGUCCCCAUGUGCAUUUGCCUUUCAUGUGCAUUUGCCUUUCAGGUUAUGUCGAUAUAGGACUCGUUUUACUGUGGAUAUAGAUACUUUUGUACCUGUUUCCUCCAGCAUCUUCACAAGGUCCUUCGCUGUUGUUCUAGGAUUGAUUUGCACUUUUUGCACCAAAGUACGUUCAUUUCUUGGAGACAGAACGCGUCUCCUUCCUGAGCGGUAUGACGGCUGCAUGGUCCCAUGGUGUUUAUACUUGCGUACUAUUGUUUGUACAGAUUAACGUGGUACCUUCAGGCGUUUGGAAAUUGCUUACCAAUUGCUUACCAAUUGUUACCAAGGAUGAACCAGACUUGUGGAGGUCUACAAUUUUUUUUCUUAGGUCUUGGCUGAUUUCUUUUGAUUUUCCCAUGAUGUCAAGCAAAGAGUUUGAAGGUAGGCCUUGAAAUGCAUCCACAGGUACACCUCCAAUUGACUCAAAUUAUGUCAAUUAGCCUAUCAGAAGCUUCUAAAUCCAUGACAUAGUUUUCUGGAAUUUUCCAAGCUGUUUAAAGGCACAGUCAACUUAAUGUAUGUAAACUUCUGACCCACUGGAAUUGUGAUAAGUGAAAUAAUCUGUCUGUAAUCAAUUCGAAAAUGACUUGUGCCUUGCACAAAGUAGAUGUCCUAACCGACUUGCCAAAACUAUAGUUUGUUAACAAGAAAUUUGUGGAGUGCUUGAAAAAUUAGUUUUAAUGACUCCAACCCAAAUGUAUGUAAACUUCCGACUUCAACUGUAUGUACUCAUAACCUCCUUUGCACGUCUCCAGGUGAAGGAAGUCUACAGAAACUAACUCAAACAGAUGAGUCAUUUUGAUGCUCAUCAUGGGUGCUGGUCUAUUUGGUUUCCUCUUCCUCAGGCACUCACACUCAUUUGUUACGAAAUGUUCCACAUCAUGCUUCAUUUUGGGCCAGUAGAACCGGGUCUGAUUAAGCUCAAUGUUCUUUCUGUGCCCAGAUGUCCCAUUUCCUGGUGCAGUUCCUUGACGAUGAGAGGAUGGUAGAGCUUUGGAAGUCAUCUGUAAUGACUUCUCCUGUGCAGUGUUCCGUCUGGUUUGAUCUCUAGCUUUCCCCAUUCUCUGAGCAAGGCUCUCACUUCAACUUCCUCUGUAUGAAUGAUAUUUGCACCAGGUCUCUGGUUUCUCUUCUUGUACUCCACUUUUCCGAUCACUGGAUUUUUCUUUUGAGCCUCCCGUAUUUCAUCUCUGGAGAUUGGCUGUACUUUGCUGAGUAGUCCCUCAUUCUCUGCUUGCUCUUGGAUGGCAUUAAAUGUGAUAGAGCUGAACAGUAGAGUAGGCUCUUCCUGCUGCAUUAGGAUAUCCUGCUUUGUGGCACUGACUUACUCCCUCUGUACACUGUGUUAUGAACAUUUCCAAUGGCAUCCUUGAUAGGCCAUCUGCAUCUCCAUUUGCCAGGUCUGUACUUCACAUUGAAGUUGAAAUCAGCCAAAACAGCAACCCACCUCUGUCUUGUUGCAUUCAACGUAGAGGUGGUCACAUAUGUGAGGGGGUUGUUGUCCGUAUACACCAUAAAGGAAGGAGCAUGGAAUAGGUCGUCUCCGAAACGCUCACAGAGCCCACUUCAGCACCAAGAACUCUAGCUUGCCCGAAUGCAGAUUGUAGUUCUUCUCUGGACGAGUGAGCGUUCUGGACCAAUAGGCUAUUACUCUCAACUUGCCCUCUCGACGUUGUCAUAGGACUGCUCCAAGUCCUACUUGUGAUGCGUCAGCUGGUUGAAGUCUGGGUAGGCUAACACUGGAGGGUUGGACAGCCUGUCGGCGAGGUUGUUUAAUUAACACAUCCUGGUGCUCCUCUGUCCAUUGGAUGCUUUUGCUUUUGCUUUGAAGUCUUUGGGUUUAGGCAGUGGUGGUGAGUUAGUGAGAGGAGCGGCAAGCAGGUCGUACAAUGAAAAGUCCUCGAUAUACACAACAUGUAGUAGGAAAAGAACCCUAUUGCCUGACUUCCCCUGCUGAUGUCUCGCCUUCAAGGCCUGGACAGAAGCCACCUCUGCUGGAUCAUGGUAUAACCAUCUUUUGACACAAUCCAUCCUAGGAACCUCCCUUUUUCCCUGAACAGUUCACAUUUCUUAGCAGUGAGCUUGAUGCCAUGCUGUUGGUUUCGACGUAGAGGUGGUCACAUGUGUGAGGGGGUUGUCCAAACGUUUGACUGGUACUGUAUGUGUAAUAUUUCUGUGUCUGUGUCAGAUUUCUCACCACUGGCUUCACUGCUUAAGGGUACACUACUUUAACAGUCUGUAUGUUUCCCAAACUAGCACACUGGCACUUCCUUUAUGUGUAGACCUUCAGGCACACGAAGUGAGCUACUAUCAGGGCCAACAUCAUAUUCUCUGUAGGUCUGUAUGUGUGUUCGACACCUAAGAGUGGUAGCUUGCCCUGGAGGAGGAAAUGUCUUCCGUCUGCCAUUUUUCACUACGGCCCCCUCAUUAUCUGACUGAUAUGUGCAUUAGCCCCACUUACAACAUUGGUCUGAUUUUGUUCCCUGCUGUUGUUGACCCUUGAUUACCUUCUCUAUCACAUUGAAGCCUAUGAUAGGUUCCUCUGCUACAUUAGGAUUACUGGACACAAUAACUGGUAUUUGGAGAAUGGGACUGGAAACACCUGAACUGUUUAGCUGAACUCUACAGCUCUCCAACCAAUGAAUGGUAUUGUCUGAUUGGCUGCCAUACCUGUGAGCUGUCCUGGUCCUAGUAGCUCGUCUAUCUCUCGGAUGAUGGUGUGAUUCAGGUAGUGGCGUCACCAGUCGUCGUUGAUGAGGUUUGCCUGUGCCCCGGUAUCCCAGAGUGCUGAGACAGGUAUGUUGUUGAAAUUACAUUUCACCAUACACCCUUUACCUACUAGGUUUAAAAGCCUGGUGUUUUGUUUUGUGGAGAGGUAGUUGACUUUACAUUCCUCUUGGGUCUGGUGCUUUCUCUGCUGCUCUUUGUUCUCGAUGACUGACUGACUGACCUCUGACAUGUCUUUGAACAGUACAUAGCUGCAGAGCACCCCUUACAUUUCACCAGCCUGUUCUUGUUGUGUGCUCCUUGUAGGCAGCAGUGACAGCGUCUGGACUUUAUUGGGUGGGUUAUAGCUGGUCACUCAACAGCAACCCUCUCCUGUUUCCCUACAAGUGGCUGGGGGCUAGACACCCACGGGAUACAUGACACCCACGGGAUAUACAGCUGUCUCCUUUUCCCUCGUCCUGGCCUCUCCUCUGUGGCCCUCUCUCUGCCGCUGGCUGUCUCUGGUAGGCUUCUUUGGUGUCAAUGGUGGUAAUGGAUGCCGUCCACAUCUUCCUCAUCUCGGCCAUCUCCUUUUUCAGCUCCCUCACAAUGGUGUGGAGCUCGGUCAGUGGUCUCUCCUCUGCUCUCCAGCCAAGGUGCCUC
rnacentral:lncRNA from 13 species